rnacentral:rRNA from 1 species
CGCCCGUCCCCCGUUCCCCGUCCCGGCCCGACCUACCUACGACGUACCGUACCGGGUACGGGACGGACGGACGACGGUAGGGGUAAGGUACGUUCGUCACAAGUAGGGCGAACCGUAGACUGCAGCGACGCCGACGCGAGCGGAUGAAGCCUUCGGGUGUAAGCUCUUUCGGCAGGGAAGAUUAUGACGGUACCUGCAGAAGCAGCUGCGGCUAACUACGUGCCAGCAGCCGCGGAAUAC